UACGUAGGGAGCGAGCGUUGUCCGGAAUCAUUGGGCGUAAAGAGCAUGUAGGUGGAUCAAUUAGUCUGCUGUGAAAGUCAAAGGCUCAACCUUUGAAAGCCGGUGGAUACUGUUGGUCUAGAGUACGGAAGAGGCGAGUGGAAUUCCUGGUGUAGCGGUGGAAUGCGCAGAUAUCAGGAGGAACACCAAUAGCGAAGGCAGCUCGCUGGGACGUUACUGACACUGAGAUGCGAAGGCGUGGGGAGCAAACAGG
rnacentral:rRNA from 1 species